rnacentral:tmRNA from 1 species
GGGGGCGAAGGGAUUCGACCUUGCAACGGAGGUAAAAGGUGGCAUGCCGAGGUGGUCGGGAGGCCUCGUAAAACACCUGACACAAACAACAAGUGCCGAUUACAAUCUGGCAAUGGCUGCAUAAUAAGUAGCCACGUUCCUCUGGCCCUGCCUGCGGGGCUGGAAGGGACGACGACUAGCAGGCUGGCCUGGCCCUGGUGCUUGAGAAGGGCUGGGUGAGACCUUAUCGAGCUGGCCCUCUGGGAACCCUGUCUAGCGGGGUCCUGGUGGGCGAGAACCAAAAGAUAGACUAAGCAUGUAGAAGCCUUUACCAAAGGGCAUAGGGACGCGGGUUCAAUUCCCGCCGCCUCCACCA